rnacentral:rRNA from 1 species
UACGAAGGGGGCUAGCGUUGCUCGGAAUCACUGGGCGUAAAGGGUGCGUAGGCGGGUCUUUUAAGUCAGGGGUGAAAUCCUGGAGCUCAACUCCAGAACUGCCUUUGAUACUGAAGAUCUUGAAUUCGGGAGAGGUGAGUGGAACUGCGAGUGUAGAGGUGAAAUUCGUAGAUAUUCGGAAGAACACCAGUGGCGAAGGCGGCUCACUGGCCCGGUACUGACGCUGAGGGUGCGAAAA